rnacentral:rRNA from 1 species
GCAUAUCAAUAAGCGGAGGAAAAGAAAAUAACAAUGAUUCCCUUAGUAACGGCGAGUGAAGGGGGAUAAGCUCAAAUUUUAAAUCUACCAGGUUAACCUGGUCGAGUUGUAAUUUGAAGAAGCGUUUUCCGCGUUCGGGUCGGCCCAAAUCCUUUGGGAUAAGGUAUCAUGGAGGGUGAGAAUCCCGUUCGGCUGACCUUAGGAUGCUUUACGAUACGCUCUCAAAGAGUCGAGUUGUUUGAGAUUGCAGCUCAAAAUGGGAGGUAAAUUUCUCCUAAGGCUAAAUACCGGCGAGAGACCGAUAGCGAACAAGUACCGUGAGGGAAAGAUGAAAAGAACUUUGAAAAGAGAGUUAAAUAGUACGUGAAAUUGUUGAAAGGGAAACGAUUGAAGUCAGUCGUACCGGCGGGAAAUCAGCUUCUCGAGUGGGGGUUCGCGGGUGCGUGGAGCUUCGGCCUUCGUCGCUUGUGACACCUUUUGCUUCUGGAGCGUACUUUUCCGUGUGGUAGGUCAACAUCGGUUUCGAUUGCCAUAAAAUGACCGGAGGAAUGUGGCUUCGAUCUUGUAUUGGAGUGUUAUAGCCUCUGGUAGAUGUGGUGGUUGGGAUCGAGGAUUGCAACGAAUACCUUUUGGGCUAUCCGUCUGAUCUCUGAAAGUUGCUCUGGUGCCGAAAGCUUGCUUACGGUUAUCAAAGUUUGACGUUCAAAAGGUUAGAACGGGUUAAAUUCGUUAAGGAUGUUGACGUA